GGGAACUUAAUCACCAGGUUGAUUCUGCCUGACGUGGACGCUAGUCUCUUAGAUUUAGCCAUGCAAGUGUAAGCGAACAAGAGGGAGCUGCGGACUGCUCAGUAACAGGCGAUUAAUUUGAUCUCUACAAACGGACAAACUCGGGAAACGGAGUGUAAUACGUAAGAGAAGAAUCUUUCAAUAAAAAGGAUUCUUUUUUAGUUCGAAAAAACGGUAGAGAAUAAGACGCCAGCCUAUCAGUUAGUAAGUAGGGUAAGGGCCUAUUUAGACGAAGACGGGUACGGGGAAUUAGGGUUUGAUUCCGGAGAGGGAGCCUGAGAGACGGCUACCAGGUCCAAGGACGGCAGCAGGCGCGAAAAUUACCGAAGCUCGAAACGAGGCGGUAGUAAAGAGACGUAAUAAAUUAAUACAAGGGUAAAAAACUUGUUAAUAACUGGAGGUCAAGUCUGGUGCCAGCAUCCGCGGUAAUUUUCUUUAGUUUCCUUUCUUUGUUUUUCGAUAUUUUUACCUACACUUUACCUCCUCCUUUCCCUGCCUGUUUUACCCUGGCCCGCUUCUUUACUGCUUUCCUUUCGUAUUUAGCCCUUGUCGUUUUUUGCCGUGUGGCAGGAUUACACCAUAUUA
rnacentral:rRNA from 1 species